rnacentral:rRNA from 1 species
GUGUCAGCAGCCGCGGUAAUACGUAGGUGGCAAGCGUUGUCCGGAUUUAUUGGGUUUAAAGGGUGCGUAGGCGGCCAAUUAAGUCAGUGCUGAAAUACUCUAGCUUAACUAGAGGGGUGGCAUUGAUACUGAUUGGCUUGAGUGAAGUCGAAGUAGGCGGAAUUGACGGUGUAGCGGUGAAAUGCUUAGAUAUCGUCAAGAACACCGAUAGUGAAGACAGCUUACUAGACUUCAACUGACGCUGAGGCACGAAAGUGUGGGGAUCAAACAGGAUUAGAUACCCUGGUAGUCC